rnacentral:lncRNA from 1 species
CGUCAAUAUUUUCAAAUCUAUUUACUCACCGUUUGGUACAGAUAUAAGCAAGAACUAGCUAUUACAGAGAUAGAUACAAAUAUGGGGAUAAGAAAAAUAGCAUUUUGAUAAAAAUUUGGUUGUUUCCGGGAAUAAAAAAAUAGCAUUUGUAUAGAUAAUAUGGAAUAAGAAAAAUAAUGGGUGGUUAUAUAUAAAAAUUGAAGGUGUUGGUGGAAAUAGUUAUACUAAAUUAUUUUAAGUACCUAAGAAUUACUAUUUUCGGAUAAAAAAAUUAGUGUUUGGAUAUAAAAGAUUAUUCCACCCCUUAUUCCCAAUCCAAACAUGUUAAAGAAAAAUUAUUUAAAUUUUCA